rnacentral:lncRNA from 1 species
CCAGGGAUCUGAAGAGAAGACUGUGUUCUGUCAAAGCCUGGCACCCACCCCCGAGGCCCCAGGAAGGCCAGAGGUGCCCCCAGCAUUUGGCAAGGAAAUAGCAGGCAUCUCAAUGUGACAGAGCUGGUCCAGGUGCUGGGUCUGGGAGCUAUGCUGCAUACCCUGUCACCCUCUCACCCAAGGCUAGGUGUAUGGGGGAGGGCUGCCCUCAGAGACGGUGAAAUUCCAGAACCCAGGGCUGUGGCCCCCGGAGACAGGUAGGCAUGGAACUGGGAAACCCUCUGCUUUCUGUCAGUUCCUAGAUAAGAUGAGAAAGGGUCUGGCUGCUGGGAGAGCCAGUAAUCCACCCCCGCCCCAAGGAGCCCACCAGUGGCCUAAAGCUGGUAUCUAGGCCAUAAAUCUGCAUCCUCUGAGUAGAGCAGCUCCCUGCUCUGCCUGGCCGGCAAAGCUCCCACUUGACUUCUAAGAAGCUUCCCUGUGCUGGCCCUGGGAUCAGCGAGACUGACCCUGAGAGAGGCUGAGAGGACAUGAAAGCAAAGAGACGAUAAUGACCCCAGAAAUAAUGAGAAAAGAGAACUGACGUUGUACAGCUCACCCUAAGAGCUUAGCAAACAAUAGCUCCUGCGAUGCCUAAUCCAGUGAGACAAAUAGUAUCAUCCCCAUUUUACAGAGGAUGAAACUGUAGCACACAGAGUUUAAAUCACUUGCCCAAGGUCACAGAAGCAGAGUCAGGAUUUGGACUUUGAACAUCUAGCUGAAGGCCUGUUGUUAUUAACCAACCACUUUAUACCCAAAAGACAGGAGGGUGGGACACAAGUCACAGCAGAGUUCCUGAAGAGCGGAAUAUGGAAGCUGAGUUUAUACAGGUCAGAGCCGUGGUAGCACCAGAGCAGCUCCAGUUUCUGCAUUAAUCUCCAUGUGGUGGACCUGGACUGCGGCUGCUGAUAUCUGGGUUGGCAUGGCAAAAUCAGGGCAUGGCAGAGCAGUCUCGAGAAUCCUCUCCUCCAGUUUAGGCUGUCUCAGCUGCUCUCCCCUAGCCCUGAGCCUGCAAAUGGCACACCCCUCAUUAACAGCAGAGUCAAUAAUUGCACUUCUCCAAGCAGGAGUCAGACCCAUCCCCAGGCAUCCAAGAUGCCCCAG